UAAGAUUUACUAAAUUGCUCCUUCAGAAAAUUCCAACUUUUAAUUUCUAUAAUUAUAUAAAACAAAGAUAAACCAUCUGACCGCUCAUGUGUUGCUGAUAGAAUAUCGGACGGUCAAGCAUCGUUGAUGAUUUCCCUGGUGAAAAACUCUCCGUUCGUUUCGUCUUCUUUACUAACCGCCUUAUAAAAUUUCUACGAAGCCUUUAACCGUCUUUUAGCUUCGCUUCUUCCUUGUCUCUGCUGCUUACGACUCUUCUGCCUGCUUUCUUCGUCUCGCAGGCAUCUAUUCUGUAGGCGUUCUUCUGUGCUCCACUCCUCAGAUUCUUCCCAAAAGGCGGACGCGCUGGCUUUCCUGAAUUUCCAAAAGAUUGACUUUUUAAGAACAAAGCAGAAGAAAGUAAUGAAUGGUCCAUUGUUCGUUACCUGAUGCUUAUAUCCAUUCAUUUCUCUACUUCUGGAACCACAGAAAAAGCUACUAUGUAUCGUUUUCGAGUGAAAGACGUCAAAGAAUUUGCAAGUAGCGAACAUUAAAUGAGUGUGGCAGCAAAUAUGAUCUACCAGCACUUGUAACUAUCGAAAAAUGCUUCAUUUCUGAAUUUAAUGUCCAUCAUUUGCUCCAUUCAAACGCUGAAUCGUAAACCAAAAAUAAGCAGUUGAACAGCGAGAUAGCAAUAUUGGCAUCGUACAGUUCAGCUACGCCAAUUUUUUGUGUUAGAGGAUUUGCAGAAGAAACGCACGAAAGACAACCGAUUACCUUCGCAGCGAGAUGAAGAAGCACGAAAUGGACUUCCAUUGGAGAUGAAUUACUGCAUUUUGAAGUUUUACUGUAUUUUGAAGCGGAAAAUGAGUUUUUCAGUUGCUGAUGUCUUAAGGUUUUGUUUUGGACAGUUUCCUAACUAUUUUUUUA